rnacentral:lncRNA from 1 species
CCCGGUUGUGAUGUCAGGUGCUCUAGACGACAAAACCAUUAAAAAACCUCUUCAUAUGUACCAAAAUUGAAAUUUCGUGUUUCCGCCAGAGGCGCGUUUUGCACUUCUUAUGCUUAAUGCUUGAAUUGUAAACUUCAUAGGAAAUGUAAUUCUAACGUUUUAAACAACUUCUUUACGUUUCAUUUGUAUAAUUCGUAAUGCAUAUUGG